GUCGCUCUAACCGGGCCGGUCUACGAAACCGGUCGCCGUAGCUGGAGUUGAAAAGGGUGGUUCGAGUCCACUGAGCGACGCCA
rnacentral:tRNA from 1 species